AUAGAUAAUGGUUGGAUGAUGCCACCUGCUGUAUCAGGUCAUUGUGAGGAUGAAACGGGGCAGCCACAUAUCCAGCAUAUGGCACCGACUCCCCUGAACACAGGAGGCUGUCACAGCGCUUGUGUCUAGGCACUAUUUUGAUCUCUGGUGACUGAGUAAGAGAGUACUGUCAAGACACUACUGAUCCAGUGGGGUAAGAGAACACUGAUGAGUACCACACAUGACAAGCUAUAGGGAACGACUGACUGCAGAAUAUCUUGCCAGAAAUAAUGAAGAUAAGGAAAGUGAAGCUCAACUAUCUUAAGGAAUUUAUUGAGUGUUUCGUGUCCUAAGUGGAAUUUACUAAAGACUCAAAGUUGAAUGUCUGCAUUUCCAAGUCAGCUAUCAUGUGAUCGCUGGCUCAGUCAGGACUUCAAAGCCACGUAUUUCUCUGAAGUAAUAAUAACAGUUCCUGUGGCAGAAGCAGAUCACUAAUUACAGAGGCCCACGGAUCUUCCAAAAGCAUUUGCAACUUUUACCAAGUCUGAGCAAAGUCAGUCGCCUCUUUUAACAAGCUUUGAACCUGCCCAUAGGUGUUGCUGCAACCUGGGAGGUGCUUUCUCUUCUCUACCAGCCAGGUUAACAAGACCUAAAUGUCCCUGACAAGGUGCUCUCUUCCUUGCUAUCCUAGGCAGAUUCUCGACCCCCCCUUUGAAGAGCAAUCCCAGAAUCUGUCUUCUCAAAACCUGUCAACAAUGUCAGUCUUUAUUUUA